rnacentral:tRNA from 1 species
GCAUUUUUAGCUUAAUGGUAAAGUAGUAAUUUUCGAAAUUAUAGAUCUUGGUUCAAUUCCAAGAAAAUGUU